GGAGGGAUCAUUGAAACCGAUCAAACCAACCCCAGCGAACUUGCGGGCCGCUCUCGUGGUGGCCCGCCGUAUUCGGAACCGCCGGUGGGAGGGGGUGGUGGUGCUCACGCGCCGCCCCCCCUUGCGCCGUGCGGGGCCUCCCAACCCAUUGAACCUUCUGCCCUAAAGCAACUUCGCAUGGGGACACCCCUGCGAUCUAACUGAGACAACUCUCAACAACGGAUAUCUUGGCUCUCGCAACGAUGAAGAACGCAGCGAAAUGCGAUACGUAGUGUGAAUUGCAGAAUUCCGUGAGUCAUCGAAUCUUUGAACGCACAUUGCCGGUCGAGUCUUCGGAUGAGACCACAUCUGCCUCAGCGUCGGGAUACCCCCUCACCCGCUCACGCGGGUGGACCUGGCCCCCCCGGCCGGCCCCUCGCGGGCUGGCCGGGCCGGCUGAAAUACAGAGGCUCGUGCGCGGCCCAUUCGUGGCCCCGACUAGGUAGGUAGCUCGCUACUUCUAGGCGGCGGCUCGGUGUCGCGUGCUGUGAGCCCCAAGGAACAUCCUUUCCAUUCGACCUGAGUUCAGGUG
rnacentral:rRNA from 1 species